UGCGUCCAAAGAUAAAGAAACGACCCAACUUAAACUCAGCGUGUGGAAAAGAAAACAGUUCGAAAAUAGUCAAACGGUGCACAGGGCGAAAUGUCAACCAUUUUUCAAUUUUUUUUUUUAUUAUUCUUAUUAUUGUUAUUCCGGCAACAACACGGCGGUUCUAUUCAAAAUCGGGUGACUUGAACAUAACCGUCCAAAGCGGCGGGAUACGCUUUCUUUUAUCUCGCAAGUUUUUACAGCAACGUAGCGCUAAAAUAAGCCUUCCAAGGUGGUUGCCCUGCCAACCAUUUUACGUGUUGGCCACAACGGGGGCAUCUAGUAUCACGCCCCCCUCCCGCAAAAAUGCAAAGGUAAAGUCACGUUUGAAAACAAAAUAAUAAUGCCAAAAGUAUAAGACAAAAUAUGCGCUACACAAGAUUACGUGUUUUCAUUAUUAGGUCUACACGUAUCAGACCACACGGCCUCUACAUCAUUAAUGUCUAUAUGUACACAGCACCCUUUAGCGUAAAACGAACUAAAACCUUUCGUCAUCCAUGGCAAUUUUAAACAUCCCAGUCUUUUACAACUCUUUUCAAAAAUUGUGCCAAUUAAAUGGCCAAGAAGAUGACUUGAACGGAAAAAGAAAAAGAAAAAAAAUGAAAAAUGAAAAAUAAAUAAUAAAUAAUAGAACGACGAA